rnacentral:rRNA from 1 species
GCAAGAUACCACGGGCGCACGGCGGAUGCCUUGGCACAGGGAGCCGAUGAAGGACGCGGCAAGCUGCGAUAAUCCCCGGCGAGGAGCACACAUCCUUCGACCCGGGGGUCUCCGAAUGGGCGAACCCAUGCACAGCAGUGUGCAUAUCCCCACCCCGAACACAUAAGGGUGGGGAGGACAACCCGGGGAACUGAAACAUCUAAGUACCCGGAGGAGAGGAAAUCAAUCUCGAGACUCCCCGAGUAGCGGCGAGCGAAAGGGGACCGAUGGCCAAACCGUCGAGCGGGCAUACCCGGCAGGGGUUCCGCCGACGGGGUUGCAGGGCCGCGCAUCCGGGGGCUGCCGCCCCCGGGCGCAGGUCCGGCUGGGGAGCGGAACGGCAUGGGAGGGCCGGCCGCAGCGGGUGACAGCCCCGUACGCGAACCCAGACCGGACGGCGCGACGCGGUCCCUGAGUAGGGCCGGGCACGUGAAACCCGGUCCGAACCUGGGUGGACCACCAUCCAAGCCUGAGUACUACCCUGUGACCGAUAGCGCACCAGUACCGUGAGGGAAAGGUGAAAAGCACCCCGGGAGGGGAGUGAAACAGUACCUGAAACCGUGCGCCCACGAGCAGUCGGAGCACCUUUAUGGUGUGACGGCGUGCCUUUUGUAGAAUGAGCCAGCGAGUCGCUGGCGCGGGGCGAGGUUAACCGAAAGGGAGCCGGAGCGAAAGCGAGCCUUAACAGGGCGACUUGAGUCCCGCGCCGCGGACGCGAAGCCGGGUGAGCUAUCCGUGGGCAGGCUGAAGCGGGGGUAAGACCCCGUGGAGGGCCGAACGCACGUCGGUUGAAAACGGCGGCGAUGACCUGCGGAUAGGGGUGAAAGGCCAAUCAAACCCGGAGAUAUCUCGUUCUCCCCGAAAUAGCUUUAGGGCUAGCGUCGCGCGUUCACCGCCGGAGGUAGAGCACCGGAUGGACGAGGGGGCUUCGCCGCCUACCGAAUCCAACCGAACUCCGAAUGCCGGCGGCCCAGAGCGCGGCAGUCAGAGCAUGUGGGCUAAGCUGUGUGCUCGAGAGGGAAACAGCCCGGACCGCCCGCUAAGGUCCCCAAGUUCCAGCCGAGUGGCAAAGGAUGUGCGUCCGCCCAGACAACCAGGAUGUUGGCUUAGAAGCAGCCAUCCAUUCAAAGAGUGCGUAACAGCUCACUGGUCGAGUGGACAUGCGCCGACAAUACACGGGGCUAAGCUGGACACCGAAGCGGCGGGAUUUUAAUUCAUUAGAAUCGGUAGGGGAGCUUCCCAUGGGCGGAGAAGCCGGAGGGCGACCGACGGUGGAGCGCAUGGGAGUGAGAAUGCUGGCAUGAGUAGCGAGAGACGAGAGAGUAACUCGUCCGCCGUGAACCCGAGGUUUCCUGGGCAAGGCUAAUCCUCCCAGGGUCAGUCGGGGGCUAAGGCGAGGCCGGUAGGCGUAGCCGACGCGCAGCAGGCAGACAUUCCUGCACCGCGCACGCGGCGCUACGACCGACGGGGCGACGGAUGGGGGUGGCUCGGCGGGGUUCUGGACGUCCCCGUGAUGGAGCGCGGCCCGCGGACCAGGGAAAUCCGGUCCGCAGAAGGGCGAGGCUCCGGACGAAGCACUUAAGCGAAGCGAGUGAGCCCGAGGUCCCUAGAAAAACCCCUAGGCAGGCGCGUGCGCGCCCGUACCGCAAACCGACACAGGUGGGUGGGUAGAACAUACCGAGGCGAUCGGGUCAACCAUGGUCAAGGAACUCGGCACAAUGGCCCCGUAACUUCGGGAGAAGGGGUGCCCGCGCGUACGUGAACCGGCUUGCCCGGGGAGCGGAGGCGGGCCGCAGUGGAGAGGCCCAAGCGACUGUUUACCAAAAACACAGGACUCUGCAGAAGCCGCAAGGCGACGUAUAGGGUCUGACGCCUGCCCGGUGCCGGAAGGUCACGCGGAGGAGUUAGCCGAUUCGGCGAAGCCCCGAAGCCAAGCCCCGGUAAACGGCGGCCGUAACUAUAACGGUCCUAAGGUAGCGAAAUUCCUUGUCGGGUAAGUUCCGACCUGCACGAAUGG